GACGAACGCUGGCGGCGUGCUUAACACAUGCAAGUCGAGCGGUAAGGCCCUUUCGGGGGUACACGAGCGGCGAACGGGUGAGUAACACGUGGGUGACCUGCCUUUAGCUCUGGGAUAAGCCUGGGAAACCGGGUCUAAUACCGGAUAUGACUCCGCGGCGCAUGUUGUGGGGUGGAAAGCCUUGUGCGGCUGGAGAUGGGCCCGCGGCCUAUCAGCUUGUUGGUGGGGUGAUGGCCUACCAAGGCGACGACGGGUAGCCGGCCUGAGAGGGCGACCGGCCACACUGGGACUGAGACACGGCCCAGACUCCUACGGGAGGCAGCAGUGGGGAAUCUUGCGCAAUGGGCGAAAGCCUGACGCAGCGACGCCGCGUGAGGGAUGACGGCCUCGGUUGUAA
rnacentral:rRNA from 1 species